AAUGAACGCUGGCGGCAGGCCUAACACAUGCAAGUCGAACGCCCCGCAAGGGGAGUGGCGCACGGGUGAGUAACGCGUGGGAAUAUGCCCUUCGGUUCGGAAUAACACAGGGAAACUUGUGCUAAUAUCGGAUAAGAUCUACGGAUGAAAGAUUAAUCGCCGAAGGAGUAGCCCGCGUAGGAUUAGCUUGUUGGUGAGGUAACGGCUCACCAAGGCGACGAUCCUUAGCUGGUCUGAGAGGAUGAUCAGGCACACUGGGACUGAGACACGGCCCAGACUCCUACGGGAGGCAGCAGUGGGGAAUAUUGGACAAUGGGCGAAAGCCUGAUCCAGCCAUGCCGCGUGAGUGAUGCAGGCCUUAGGGUUGUAAAGCUCUUUCGCCAGGGAAGAUAAUGACGGUACCUGGAAAAGAAGCCUCGGCUAACUCCGUGCCAGCAGCCGCAGUAA
rnacentral:rRNA from 1 species